GAUGAACGCUGGCGGCGUGCCUAAUACAUGCAAGUCGAGCGAACGGACGAGAAGCUUGCUUCUCUGAUGUUAGCGGCGGACGGGUGAGUAACACGUGGAUAACCUACCUAUAAGACUGGGAUAACUUCGGGAAACCGGAGCUACUACCGGAUAAUAUUUUGAACCGCAUGGUUCAAAAGUGAAAGACGGUCUUGCUGUCACUUAUAGCUGGAUCCGCGCUGCAUUAGCUAGUUGGUAAGGUAACGGCUUACCAAGGCAACGAUGCAUAGCCGACCUGAGAGGGUGAUCGGCCACACUGGAACUGAGACACGGUCCAGACUCCUACGGGAGGCAGCAGUAGGGAAUCUUCCGCAAUGGGCGAAAGCCUGACGGAGCAACGCCGCGUGAGUGAUGAAGGUCUUCGGAUCGUAAAACUCUGUUAUUAGGGAAGAACAUAUGUGUAAGUAACUGUGCACAUCUUGACGGUACCUAAUCAGAAAGCCACGGCUAACUACGUG
rnacentral:rRNA from 1 species